GGCCCAGUGUGGUGUGGUGGUAAGAGUGUCGGACUAGGACCUGGGAGACCGGGGUUCAAACCCCCGCUUGGCCA